GAGGUUAAGCGACUAAGCGUACACGGUGGAUGCCCUGGCAGUCAGAGGCGAUGAAGGGCGUACUAAUCUGCGAUAAGCGCCGGUAAGGUGAUAUGAACCGUUAUAACCGGCGAUACCCGAAUGGGGAAACCCAGUGUGAUUCGUCACACUAUCAUUAACUGAAUCCAUAGGUUAAUGAGGCGAACCGGGGGAACUGAAACAUCUAAGUACCCCGAGGAAAAGAAAUCAACCGAGAUUCCCCCAGUAGCGGCGAGCGAACGGGGAGGAGCCCAGAGCCUGAAUCAGCAUGUGUGUUAGUGGAAGCGUCUGGAAAGGCGCGCGAUACAGGGUGACAGCCCCGUACACAAAAGCGCAUGUGCUGUGAGCUCGAUGAGUAGGGCGGGACACGUGGUAUCCUGUCUGAAUAUGGGGGGACCAUCCUCCAAGGCUAAAUACUCCUGACUGACCGAUAGUGAACCAGUACCGUGAGGGAAAGGCGAAAAGAACCCCGGCGAGGGGAGUGAAAAAGAACCUGAAACCGUGU
rnacentral:rRNA from 2 species